rnacentral:rRNA from 1 species
UACGUAGGUGGCGAGCGUUGUUCGGAAUCACUGGGCAUAAAGGGCGCGUAGGCGGCCUGCUAAGUCGAACGUGAAAUCCCCGAGCUCAACUCGGGAACUGCGUCCGAUACUGGCAGGCUUGAAUCCGGGAGAGGGAUGCGGAAUUCCAGGUGUAGCGGUGAAAUUCGUAGAUAUCAAGCGGAACACCGGUGGCGAAGGCGGCCUUCUGGACAGUGACUGACGCUGAGACGCGAGAGCGUGGGAGCAAACAGG